rnacentral:tRNA from 3 species
CGGCGAGUAGCGCAGUUUGGGAGCGCAACUGGUUUGGGACCAGUGUGUCGGAGGUUCAAAUCCUCUCUCGCCGACCA